AAUGAUGAUCACUAAAGACUCAAUCUCAAAAUGAAGGCCAUACAAGCAAACGAUGAGCCACACUUGUGCCUCUUCGCGACUCGAGAUAUUGCAGCUGGCGAAGAGUUGACUUAUAGUUACGGUGAUUCAGACUGGCCAUGGAGAACACAGGUCAUCAAAACUGAAUUGUCGUCCAGCCCAAAACCUAUGCUCAUUGACGCGUUGCAGAAUGACAACUCCCAACCCUUUCAGAACAGCAUGGACACGGAUGGAUCAGAUUCC